ensembl:snoRNA
AAGCCAGCCAAUUAAUCUUAUCUGAAUGUGUUUCUGUAGAAAUUUAGAAAAAGCUGACAAUAGUGAUGCCAUUUUAUGAGCAUUAAGGGUAGCUAAGGUCUUUAAGGUCCCUAAAAAUGGCUAGAAUA